rnacentral:rRNA from 1 species
CCUACGGGAGGCAGCAGUAAGGAAUCUUCCACAAUGGACGAAAGUCUGAUGGAGCAACGCCGCGUGCAGGAUGAAGGCUUUCGGGUCGUAAACUGCUUUUAUAUGGGAAGAUUAUGACGGUACCAUAUGAAUAAGGACCGGCUAACUACGUGCCAGCAGCCGCGGUAAUACGUAGGGUCCAAGCGAUAUCCGGAAUUACUGGGCGUAAAGCGUGUGUAGGUGGAUUAAUAAGUGUGAUGCGAAAUCCGGCGGCUCAACCGUUUGGACUGUGUCGCAUACUGUUAGUCUAGAGGACGGCAGAGGUAAGUGGAAUUACGGGUGUAGCAGUGAAAUGCGUAGAUAUCCGUAGGAACACCAAUGGCGAAGGCAGCUUACUGGGCCACACCUGACACUGAGACACGAAAGCGUGGGGAGCGAACAGGAUUAGAUACCCUGGUAGUCCACGCCGUAAACGAUGCAUACUAUUAGUAUGGGGUAUCGACCCCCUGUGCUGAGAAGCUAACGCGAUAAGUAUGCCGCCUGGGGAGUACGAGCGCAAGCUUAAAACUCAAAGGAAUUGA